GGAUCAAACCUAGCUCAGUGGUAGAGCGUCUGCUUUGCUUGCAGAAGGUCUCAGGUUCAAAUCCCGGCAUCGCCA